rnacentral:rRNA from 1 species
UACGUAGGUGACAAGCGUUGUCCGGAUUUACUGGGCGUAAAGAGCGCGCAGGCGGUCGUUCAAGUCGAGUGUGAAAGCCCCCGGCUCAACUGGGGAGGGUCACUCGAUACUGAUCGACUCGAAGGCAGGAGAGGGAAGUGGAAUUCCUGGUGUAGCGGUGAAAUGCGCAGAUAUCAGGAGGAACACCGGUGGCGAAGGCGGUUCUCUGGGAAUGUCCUGACGCUGAGGAGCGAAAGUGUGGGGAGCGAACAGG